CUCUCUCUCUCUCUUCUUUUGCGUCGCUGCCCGCCGUGUCGUCGCCACCGCUGGGAGCUCGCUUCUUCCGCUGCGAAGAAAGAAGAAAAAAUGGCGGACGCGAAGGCGGUCACUAUUCGGACGCGGAAGUUUAUGACCAAUCGCCUUCUCUCCAGGAAGCAAUUCGUCAUUGACGUUGUUCACCCGGGAAGAGUCAAUGUCUCCAAGGCGGAGUUGAAGGAGAAGCUGGCGAAGCUGUACGAGGUCAACGAUCCGAACAUGAUCUUCGUGUUCAAGUUCAGAACGCACUUCGGAGGAGGGAAAUCCACCGGUUUUUGGUUUGAUCUAUGAUACGGUGGAAAAUGCAAAGAAGUAUGAGAUCGUCUCAUCAGGAAUGGGCUUGCCACAAAGGUUGAGAAGUCAAGGAAGCAAUUAAAGGAAAGAAAGAACAGAGCAAAUAAAGUUUGUGGAGUCAAGAAGACAAAGGCUGGAGAUGCUGCCGAGGCUUGGGUCGGCCAGUCGAUAAUACUUGCUAGCAUAGAAUCGGGACAUUCAUGUGCUCUUAUAUAUUUGAGUUGCGAGAUUUUGAUCCCAAGGACAAAGAUGAUAUUUGCAUCUGAGUGUAGAAAUGUGCAAGUCUGGUGCUUUCUUAGUCUUCA